rnacentral:rRNA from 1 species
UAGGGAAUAUUGGACAAUGGGCGCAAGCCUGAUCCAGCCAUGCCGCGUGAGUGAAGAAGGCCCUCGGGUUGUAAAGCUCUUUUGUCCGGAAAGAAAAGCUUUGGGUUAAUACCCCGAAGUCCUGACGGUACCGGAAGAAUAAGCACCGGCUAACUUCGUGCCAGCAGCCGCGGUAAUACGAAGGGUGCAAGCGUUACUCGGAAUUACUGGGCGUAAAGCGUGCGUAGGUGGUUCGUUAAGUCUGAUGUGAAAGCCCUGGGCUCAACCUGGGAAUGGCAUUGGAUACUGGCGGGCUAGAGUGCGGUAGAGGGCAGUGGAAUUCCCGGUGUGGCAGUGAAAUGCGUAGAGAUCGGGAGUAACAUCUGUGGCGAAGGCGACUGCCUGGACCAGCACUGACACUGAGGCACGAAAGCGUGGGGAGCAAACAGG